CGAACGCUGGCGGCGUGCCUAAUACAUGCAAGUCGAGCGGACCAAAUCGGAGCUUGCUCUGAUUUGGUCAGCGGCGGACGGGUGAGUAACACGUGGGCAACCUGCCCGCAAGACCGGGAUAACUCCGGGAAACCGGAGCUAAUACCGGAUAACACCGAAGACCGCAUGGUCUUUGGUUGAAAGGCGGCCUUUGGCUGUCACUUGCGGAUGGGCCCGCGGCGCAUUAGCUAGUUGGUGAGGUAACGGCUCACCAAGGCGACGAUGCGUAGCCGGCCUGAGAGGGUGACAGGCCACACUGGGACUGAGACACGGCCCAGACUCCUACGGGAGGCAGCAGUAGGGAAUCUUCCGCAAUGGGCGAAAGCCUGACGGAGCGACGCCGCGUGAGCGAAGAAGGCCUUCGGGUCGUAAAGCUCUGUUGUGAGGGACGAAGGAGCGCCGUUCGAAGAGGGCGGCGCGGUGACGGUACCUCACGAGGAAGCCCCGGCUAACUACGUGCCAGCAGCCGCGGUAAUACGUAGGGGGCGAGCGUUGUCCGGAAUUAUUGGGCGUAAAGCGCGCGCAGGCGGUCCCUUAAGUCUGAUGUGAAAGUCUACGGCUCAACCGUGGAGGGUCAUUGGAAACUGGGGGACUUGAGUGCAGGAGAGGAGAGCGGAAUUCCACGUGUAGCGGUGAAAUGCGUAGAGAUGUGGAGGAACACCGGUGGCGAAG
rnacentral:rRNA from 1 species